rnacentral:rRNA from 1 species
UGAGUAACCUGCCCUCCACUCUGGGAUAAGCCCGGGAAACUGGGUCUAAUACCGGAUAUGACUCCUCAUCGCAUGGUGGGGGGUGAAAGCUUUAUUGUGGUUUGGAUGGACUCGCGGCCUAUCAGCUUGUUGGUGAGGUAAUGGCUCACCAAGGCGACGACGGGUAGCCGGCCUGAGAGGGUGACCGGCCACACUGGGACUGAGACACCGCCAGCCUCCGUACGGG